rnacentral:rRNA from 1 species
GAUGAACGCUGGCGGCGUGCCUGAUACAUGCAAGUCGAACGCGCGGAUCAGGAGCUUGCUCCUGUGACGCGAGUGGCGGACGGGUGAGUAACACGUAGGCAACCUGCCCAUCAGACUGGGAUAACCACGGGAAACCGUGGCUAAUACCGGAUAACCCUUUUCCACACAGGUGGGAAAGUUGAAAGGCGGCUUCGGCUGCCACUGAUGGAUGGGCCUGCGGCGCAUUAGCUGGUUGGUGGGGUAACGGCCCACCAAGGCGACGAUGCGUAGCCGUCCUGGGAGGGGGAUCGGCCACACGGGGACGGAGACACGGCCCGGCUUCCUACGGGAGGCAGCAGUAGGGAAUCUUCCGCAAUGGACGAAAGUCUGACGGAGCAACGCCGCGUGAGUGAAGAAGGGUUUCGGCUCGUAAAACUCUGUUGUCAGGGAAGAACGCCGACGGGAGUAACUGCCCGUCGGGUGACGGUACCUGACCAGAAAGCCACGGCUAACUACGUGCCAGCAGCCGCCGUAA